UUAAACUGGAAAUGAGCACCUGUGGAGUAAGGCAAUAUUCCUGAAAAAACCUUUUAAUCUUUGUAGAUGGACUUUCUUCAGCUGAUCCAAGCUCCGAUUGGAAUGCACCAGCAGAAGAGUGGGGAAACUGGGUAGAUGAAGAAAAAAUUGCUUCUGUUCCUCAGCGUGAAGAGAGAUCUGAUACUCAGAAGAUCUCAGAUAAUGAAAGAGAAAAAGCGGAGCCAAUUCUUCAGAGUUCUGCAAGUGGCAAAUCCAAGAAAAAGAAGAAGAAAAAGAA